GCCUCCACAGUUGUGAUAGCUCAGUCGGUAGAGCAUGAGACUCUUAAUCUCAGGGCUGUGGGUUUGAAUCCCACAUAGGGCA